GUCGACGAUUACUCCUACGGGAGGCAGCAGUGGGGAAUAUUGCACAAUGGGGGAAACCCUGAUGCAGCCAUGCCGCGUGUGUGAAGAAGGCCUUCGGGUUGUAAAGCACUUUCAGCGAGGAGGAAAGGUUGAUGCCUAAUACGCAUCAGCUGUGACGUUACUCGCAGAAGAAGCACCGGCUAACUCCGUGCCAGCAGCCGCGGUAAUAAUCUCUAGA
rnacentral:rRNA from 1 species